rnacentral:rRNA from 1 species
GACGAACGCUGGCGGCGUGCUUAACACAUGCAAGUCGAACGGAAAGGCCCUGCUUUUGUGGGGUGCUCGAGUGGCGAACGGGUGAGUAACACGAGAGUAACCUGCCCUUGACUUUGGGAUAACUUCAGGAAACUGGGGCUAAUACCGGAUAGGAGCCCCUGCUGCAUGGUGGGGGUUGGAAAGUUUCGGCGGUUGGGGAUGGACUCGCGGCUUAUCAGCUUGUUGGUGGGGUAGUGGCUUACCAAGGCUUUGACGGGUAGCCGGCCUGAGAGGGUGACCGGCCACAUUGGGACUGAGGUACGGCCCAGACUCCUACGGGGGGCAGCAGUGGGGAAUAUUGCACAAUGGGCGGAAGCCUGAGGCAGCAACGCCGCGGGCGGGAUGACGGCCUUCGGGUUGUGAACCGCUUUCGCCUGUGACGAAGCGUGAGUGACGGUAAUGGGUAAAGAAGCACCGGCUAGCUACGUG